CUGAGCGGCCGCACAUCUCGACUCGGGGAGACGAAUCUAUAGCGCCGCCGGCGCCAUCCCCUCACGUUUCAAGGAAGCCCCUAGCUCACGCCUCACGGUUGCGCGAGGCAAGGCAAAUGUCACGAGCACCUCCUGUACUGGUGGCCAUGGACACGAACAGGCCCGGUCCUGGAGGGCGAUCGGGGCGGCCACCCCGACCCCUAAUUCCAAGGGGCCCAUCUAUACCAUCCCGCCGGCCGGGCCCUAGCUUCCGAAGAGCGUCGCCGCAGUGAUGGUGUUCAUGGGACGAGUUCGUCAACAGAUUCAUGCAAGCCCUUCUACUCCGGCCCCAAUACUGUAUGCUUCGAUCCCAUCCUGCCUUCCGAAAUUCUCAUCUCAUCGGCACCAUGCCCAGUUUCUCAUUAAUGCAUCUUAAUCCAAUCGGUUAUGUGCUGCCCAUGUAAUCCAUAAUCGAUAUAAGAUUAAAACGGAAAAGCUUAACAACGUCUUGUUUGCUCAUGUCUCAUGAACCUGAUGUUAUAUGUGACAUUUCAGCGAAGGAUUAGGCAGAGUAACAGCAAAACCAAUAAAAAAGGCGAGGCAGGACCGCAGGAGGCACUUAUAUCUUGUUUGAUCUUACUUUGCUUUAAAAGUAUCACAAUUGGGAUUGCUGGGUAAACAGUUGACUGAACCUUGAUACCAUUAUGCAGGUAUGAAGAAAGUGUGCGCUAUUGUUGGACUUCUUUUUUCUGGUACAGAAAUGCGAAGUACACUUGCGACAGAAUCAUUAUUGCCAUGACAAUCGAAUCUUGAUAUAUUUUGUGUGACAAAUCUUUACAGAAAACAGAUUGCUCACUCAAACCCUAUGACCACGACCAGGCCUAUGUGUGACGAUUGAUCUCAAAGCUCCAGGAUUACUGUGCCUAUGUGCGGCGCCAUCCGACUUCAAGAUUUCACAUGUUCGACCACUAGGCAGCCACAUUUUUUAAAGUAAUAUGAUAACCACUAAAAUAAGGUGGUACUUAUAAAUUACUCCCUCCGUCCCACAAUAUAAGAUGUUUUUGCAGUUCAAAUUAUUGGAUAGAGGUAGUAUUUGAUAUGAGUGUAUUAUUUGACCACUCACCUUUUGGGCGUCUCGGAUUUUAGUUUCGCCCCGGACCUCUACCCAGUACAGGCCCUGGAAAUGAAUAUUGAAUCGCUUUUCUCAUGAUUUCUCUGAGAGAGAAAUCACAAAUAAGUAAGGUGUUUUACUCUGCCCGAUGUAACUAUACUUCUUGAAGACAUAUAACAUAAAAAUUGUUUAUCUAGACCCAUAUGAUUUAUGAUUGGGACAAAUAGCGCGACCAUAUGAGCCUAUGGUAAUAUCAUACUGAUCUAUUUCCAGUUUUUGUCGCAUUGUAUUAAUCUGCAUCCGCACUAAAUUAACUUCAGACAGGCAUCAUAGAAGCCCAUAUGUUUUCUUAGAUGGAAAGUAUGUAUAUAAGCAAAGCAGUGGCUGUGUGCCCAUGCAGCUACAACAACCCACAUUAUUUUCACAAUACUCAAAUUUGUGUGAAUAUUCAAGGAUAUGAUGCAUUUUUUCUAGCUUGAAAAGCCAACCGAGUACAUGAGUGCUACUCCGCUAAACCCUAUGCCAAGAUGUGCUUUCGGGAGGUAUACUUUGUUCUUGCUUUGCUUUUUUGGCAGUUGAUGUUGGGCUACAUCCGGCGGUAUUCCUCGCAUCAUUGUUCAAUGCCUAUUCUUAUGCUUUAACUAACUCAUUGCCUUUAGUUUCUGGAACAUGUUGUUAACUUAAUCCUAUUCACUAUAGGUGCAUGGAGCUUAAUUGGAUUACAUCACGUUUGUGGUACAGAUGUAUGCAUGAGAUAAGCUGGUUUUGGUCUGUACAGCUGCAAUGUUUACUAUUUAAGUCUCAUUUACCAGUGUAUCUGUUUUUUGUAUGUUGGGCCACUGAUUGCUACACUUGGCAAAAAAUUCACAUUAACAACAAAGCCUGGUAAGGCAGCAUUAGAGGGAGUGCAGGAGGUGAAAUGCAUCAUUACCAUCAUGCUCUCUAUCUAGAGCUGGUACGAUGUGUACACAGUUUGAUGAGAUUCAUACUUUUGGUGGUACGGUUGAUGUGUUUUACAGUUCUGUCAUCUAUGCUUCGGUGCAAAAAUGUACCCGCCAUUUUCAAUUUUUGCUGAGUUCACCAGAACAAUUGACCACCUACUUAGUGCCAAAUAUUGAAAUUUCACUUGAUUUAGAAUGGUUUGCUUUUGUGUUUAACGGAUUGAAAUGUGCGGAAGAUUUCAAUUGCAAUUCUUUUCACUCCUAACUGAACUGAUUCUGUACUUUUUGCCUAUGUGAUUAUGCUUAGUUUUGAGUUCGCAAGAAUCUGGUCUGGAACGGAACUCCUUACAUGAAGAAGCAUUCUAGGUGUCAAAUAAGCAAACGAGUGCCAAGAGGCAAGUGGCCAAGGUAGCAUUCCUGAUGACAAGUGAGGCAAUGGCAGCCAUGAUGUGCAGCGGCAGGCUCCAUUGUUCGGUUCAGGAAAACUCUCUCUUUGGUAAGUCCUUGUAUCACUCGCGUCAUUAAAAAUUUCAGGUUUUUUAUUUCCUUAACAACGUGCAUGCCGUAUGUGGAUGGAGUGCACAAGAGGAACCAUUUUACUCAGCAAUCAACAGUUUUUCCUACGGGUAUCAUAGCAUAGACUCACUAUAGCAGAUGCCAUUGACCUCCAUAGUCCACCGUUACAACUGAUGUUCUUGUGAAGCUUUCUAUGCAUCAUUUUGACUCGAAGGUCUUUAUUUUUGGUUCUUUUGGAUCAGAAAAUAUGUAAUUGCAUUCCUAGAUGCGUUGGGCCAACUUCUUGUUAUGUUAUUUCUUAAGCUUAGAAUAGACUUUAUGUAAAUGUUGUAAACCACUUGUUGAGUGACUUCAUUUUGGCAAGCCCUUCA